rnacentral:rRNA from 1 species
CACGUAGGGGGCAAGCGUUGUCCGGAUUCAUUGGGCGUAAAGAGCUCGUAGGCGGCUCAGUAAGUCGGGUGUGAAACCUCCAGGCUCAACCUGGAGACGCCACCCGAUACUGCUGUGGCUAGAGUCCAGUAGGGGAGCGUGGAAUUCCUGGUGUAGCGGUGAAAUGCGCGGAUAUCAGGAGGAACACCAGCGGCGAAGGCGGCGCUCUGGGCUGGAACUGACGCUGAGGAGCGAAAGCGUGGGGAGCGAACAGG